rnacentral:rRNA from 1 species
AUGGCUAUCUCUACCAGUAGUGAUGCCAGUGCCUUCCUCUUCCUCACGAUCUUGUGUUUCGCUACACUUCGCCCUUCACCUGUCAACGCCAGGCAUUUCCCUGGUAAGCUUGGCAGUACCAGCGCCAUCCAUGGCGCCGGCAGCAAGUUCUACUGGCCCUUCUCAAGGGACGGCGCCGGCAGUGGCCAUGGCUCCGGAACCGGCCAUGGGUUCGGUUGGGUCGUGUCGCGGAACGGGUCCAACACGACCAUCGGGGUGGGCGUCGGCAUCGGCGGUGGCGCGGGAAGCACCCGUGACGGCGACGGGGGCAGCGCCGGUGGUGGUGUUGGCGCCGGGGUCGGCAUCGACAUCGGGAAGGACGGGAUCGACGUGGCCAUCGGCGUCGGCGGAGGGGGCGCCGCGAGCAUGCACAACGGCGGCGUCAGUGUCGGUCUUGGCGGCGGGGAAGGCUUUGGUUUCCAUAUCAGCAAAGAAGGUGUCACUGUCACGGUGACACGCGGCGAUGGUGGUGGAGGAGGCGACGGCAGCGGUGCCGGUGCUUUGGGCGGCGGCAGAGGGGUUGGACGCGCAGGCAAUGCCGUGGGGAGCGGCCAAGGUUCUGGGAGCGCGAUCGGUGGCACGGGGAGCGGCGGCGGGAGUGGCUCCGGCUCCGGGCCAGGAGGAUCCGGUGGCGGUGGAGGCGGCGGCGCCGGCGGGAGCAACGGCCACCCGUGA